CCCAAAAUCAAAGCCCAACUACUUAGUUUUUUCACUUGGCAGUACCUACAUCUCUUCUCUGAAAAAAUCCAAAGCCUCCAUAGACAAAACACUUUCAGAUCGUAUAUGGUGCCAGUUGCAGGUGUACUGUCAAGAGGUAUAGCCGAAGUCUUCAAAUAAGCAUUAGAAUCUCUAUUAAGGACCGAGGCACCAUGAUAUGUAACAACAACUUCACUAACAAUAAGAUAGGCUGAAGCUGACUGUCCCGGACUUCCGAAUUUUCAGUGGUCUGAAUUCUUUUGCCUUGCUUGAUUUAUAAAGUAGUUGAGACGAACAUCACAAAGAGAUCUGGUACUUCAGUCCUUGGCUUGGCUUCAAACCUGUGUAAAAAGACAUGGUAAUACAUGAAUUAUCUUUAGCUUUGUUCCAUUUUUUGAACUGCAGAAGCAUAGAAGUGGCUCUAUCAGACCAAACUAGAGGUUCUAGGUACAUGGGUAGCUGUUGUAAAUAACUUUAGACACUGUCCUUUCACGAAGCGUGGAACAUUUAAUGAUAAGUGCCUGAAAUACAUCUUUUGAAUUUCAAUUUUUUAUACUUUUCUUUACUAUUUUCUCUUAAAUUUUUGUAUAUUACGUUUCUUUUGCAUUUUGUAGAUAUUUUGGAGUCAUACAACAUGAAAGAAGUCAAAUAUGAGCUUAAUUCGUUACAUGGCGAUUUCAAGAGUCGACGGCGAUAGAAGUAAAAGCUAAAAGUCUUCAAGACUGGGUCUUAUGAGCAUGCCCAAGGGCUUCCCAACCCAAAAAAGCGUGGCCAAAGGGGGUGAUUCCCUCAAGGGUUCCCUAGUAUGCGGGAAUCCCAUCGGGAAGACUCCGGGAACGGCUAAUGGUUAUCCGUUUCCAAAAUGCAGAAAACGGUCAUCCAUUAACCGUUCUUGUUAAGAUACUGCAAUCAUAGUUGCAUGGAAUGCGGUAAUGAAAGCUCUGGUUACUGUUGAUGCUGUAGCACCAUCCUAUAACUUCUGGGAGCUGGUUUAUUCUCAUUUUCUUCAAAACUUUUUGAAUCCAAACCAAAGAUCAAAGCAAGCUUUAAGAUACAGGGUUGGUAGAUAAAAAGAGAUGUGAAAACUUAUGUUAUCAUCCAAGCUACGCUAUUAAGAGACUUGCCACCGGUAUUCAUUACAGCGCAAAUGACGGUCGAAACAAUGGCGAAAGCAAGGUUUCGUGAAACGCAUGGACGCAAUUUUAGGUUUUACGAAUGUUACCUCCUUAUGAAGGAUGGAAUGGUAGACUAUAAUCCAAGAAGGUUUUUUUGGGCACAGAUAGAAUCGUAAAUACUUGUGAUUUUCAGGUUUUGUUGGUAAACCUCUUGUAAACCAUCCCGAGACACCACUCGGUCGGUAGGGACACCUGCAGGUUUAAAGGCUUGUUCCACGUGCUAAGUGCAUCCGAGAUACCUACGACAGUGACCUAAUAAGAGUUAAAUUGGCUCAAUGUACUAUCUUGUAUUUUAGUUUUAAAUUAAUGAAAUAAGUUAAAUUA